rnacentral:rRNA from 1 species
ACACGGGGGGCGCAAGCGUUAUUCGGAAUUAUUGGGCGUAAAGGGCGCGUAGGCGGUCUUGUCGGUCAGAUGUGAAAGCCCAGGGCUCAACCCUGGGCGUGCAUUUGAAACAGCAAGACUUGAGUACGGGAGAGGAAAGCGGAAUUCCUGGUGUAGAGGUGAAAUUCGUAGAUAUCAGGAGGAACACCGAUGGCGAAGGCAGCUUUCUGGACCGAUACUGACGCUGAGGCGCGAAGGCGUGGGUAGCGAACAGGAUUAGAAACCCCGGUAGUCC